AUUGCUCUGAAUUUUUAAUACUGGGUGAAUUUCAAAAUGUUCGUUCAAAUCCAAAGGGCGCGUUCAUGGCGAAGAAGCGAGGUCGAACUGAAUGGAAAAUUUGACCCCAAAUACCGCCACAGCCUCUCUUCUCUUCUCAUGCACUCUUAUUCCGAGAUUGGUGCGUUUCCGCAUUUUUAUCACAUUGAUGAAAAUCCAUGUCAAACCCAUAUGAAUCGGAUUAACAGUGCUGUGAAUUUGGGUCAUCAGCUUCCGUUCAGAAUG